GACGAACGCUGGCGGCGUGGAUUAGGCAUGCAAGUCGAACGGUAUAAACCUUUCGGGGUUUAGAGAGUGGCGAACGGGUGAGUAACACGUAGGUAAUCUACCCUCAAAACGGGGACAACCCAGGGAAACUUGGGCUAAUACCGGAUGUGAGCAACUUUUAGUUGUUUGAAAGGUGGCGUAAGCUGUCGCUUGGGGAUGAGCCUGCGUCCUAUUAGUUAGUUGGUGAGGUAACGGCUCACCUAGGCAAUGAUAGGUAGGCGGCCUUAACGGGUGGUCGCCCACACUGGGAUUGAGAUACGGCCCAGACUCCUACGGGAGGCAGCAGUCGAGAAUAGUCUACAAUGGUCGGAAGACUGAUAGUGCGACGCCGCGUGAACGAUGAAUCCCUUCGGGGUGUAAAGUUCUUUUAUAUGUGAGCAGUGCUUCUUAUAUUAACAGUAUGGGGAGAGAGAUAUUAGCAUAUGAAUAAGCAACGGCUAACUCCGUG
rnacentral:rRNA from 1 species